UUGGAUUGUCAGCAAAGGUGUGCGACUCUAUAAUCCAAAGCUUGUGGGAGGAAUUCACCUCGCCUGUGACCGAUUGUAGAGUCAUACACCUCUACUGACCUUCCAG
rfam:Physcomitrella patens subsp. patens PHYPAscaffold_448 genomic scaffold, whole genome shotgun sequence.